AUGAACCUUGUCAGACCAAGAUUUCAUUUUUUUCCCCAUAAACCCCACUUCCAUAAAACCUCAACGAACAAAAUUGUAGAAAAUAACAUUUCUGUAUGCCAGGAGUAAAGUGCCAGCUUAACCAGAUAUACGAUUGAAAAGCGAUUUAUACAUCUGUAUAAUACCAGCAAAUGUCUAGUAUUGAAUUUUUAUUAACAAAAUUCAUAAACAAGAAGAAGAUUUAUACCAAGUCCAACCCUGAAUUCCAGCACUGCUUUACUAGCGCUCAAAGCCAACAUAUGUGAUAGGAUCAGCCAUCAAAACCAAACAAUAGAAGAUCGAGUCAAAAGACAUCCGACCAACCAACUGGUGAGAUUUUCUGACCGAUCAAACAACAAGGCUGUUGAAAGCAGCAAGAAAGGCAGGUGCGGAUCUCCAACGCUUCAGUAGGCUGAAAUAAUGGGGCAAUUAAGCAUACAACAGGACAUUUGGGAAAGUGGCAUGAUCUGUACCUGAUACUUUGCAAAGAAGGAUAGGGUACAACGGUCCAAAAUAAAGGUAUAUAAGGAGAGAAAUCACUAGAAAGAAAGGUACACAUUCUCAUUGCAAGAUUCCAAUUAUUUUAUAAAAAGCUCUAAAAAACAUGAUCGUCAGAGUGGUUGUUGUAAGGCCGCCGCACUCACCCUUUUUCAUCUUGCAGGAUUAAUGCGCUUAGAUCGACCACCGUUUCAAGGACCCGCAGUAGCAACAAUAUGUUAGAAGCUGGUUGGUUCUGAGCACACACUAGAUCCAUAGCCAACAUAAAUGGUCUCUUAUUUCUUCUCAAGCGUAAAUACUCUUUUUUCCAUGCCCAAACCAAGGUACGAAGAAAAAUGGGAAAGGUAAUAGAAGGUGGUAGGUAACACUAUCGAUGUGGUGUGCCUGAAAAACGCCCAAGAUUCUUACAUUACUCUGCAAGCUCUCAACACUAGCUCUCAUAGCUACAUUAUGAACUAUAUUGGCACCUCCACUGUCACCCUCCCAUGAUAAACACUCGAUCAAAUCACCAUGAUCUGAAAUCCAUGGCUCUAGACCAUUUGACGCUGAGUGAGAAGCGACCCAUUGAAGAGCGUCCUAGCAAUCAUCAUAUGCUGCAGGGAGAGGGUGCUCUGGCAGUAGCCUGUACUCUACAGAUGCAGCAAGAACUUGGGAUUUAGACAAUAAAGAUUUGAUGUAAAGAUGGUGGAAAAAAGAGAAGGCAUAGUCUAUGCAAAAAGCACCGCCAUGAAAAUAGACUAAAGAUCGGUAGGGAGUUUUUGAUUGGGUUGUGUUGGUUUUGGGAGAUUGAGACUAGCAAAGAUAUUGAGAUUUUGAGAGAUGUUUAUACGUCAUUUGAUGCGAUCCCAGUCUCUGGGUCAAGGUCGGUUGAACGUGAGGUGAGCCAAGGAGGCGUUCUACUGAGCCAUCAUUUUUGACACGGAAAAGAGUAUGG
rnacentral:misc_RNA from 1 species